GCGUGAUAAUUUUUAGCAUCAAGAGCAAGAACCUGCUUUGUGAACUCAAGCUCCUUUUCUGCAGCUUCUGGUCCCAACUUCUCCGCAAGCCACCGCCUGUGAUGCCAGAGCUGAUAAUUCUUUGGGUUUCCUUUAGCAACACGGUCAACAAAAUCCCUUUCAACCAGCAAAUCUUCAUUCAGCCCAUCCAGUACAAGACGGACACGGUCAACAAAAUCCCUU
rnacentral:misc_RNA from 1 species